UGUCUUUGAAAUUGGGAUGAUUUAAAAAGAAAGGGGGGUUACGUGUGGAAGAAAGACCCAAGGACACCCCCAGGCGAUGUAGAGAAAGAGUGUGAGGAGAGAGCGAGAAUAAGCGGAUGGUCCGCAUAGUAAACAGAGAGGGACUACGAUCACUGUCGUGAUUCCUGCUUGGGCAGAGAGCCAGAGAAGGUUGCUUGUUUCAGGUUCAGUGGCGCGCCACAAGACAGGAAACUCAUAUGAAAGAAUGGGGACGGGGAGGUCGGAGCCACUAAGGCCACUUCAGCACCUUGCAUCACCCCAGAGACAAUAUUAUGUUAAUGCAUAAGGAUGGAUUGAAAGGUGAAGCUCCUUUCUGCCAAGAGUCUGAAACCUGCAGGCUUUGCAAGAUUUUUGGCAGACUUCUCCCACAAAUAACCUACUGAUGGCUCUAUUGCUCUAAACAACUCCAACGGACUGAUUGCUUCAGGAAGACCCUUUCCUUUUGCUCUGAACCCCGCUGCCCACCCCUUCAUCUUCAGCUAUAAAUAUAACACUGCUCUUUAGGAGGUUGUUUCCUUUUCUUUGACAAUGGCAUCCAAUCCCUCCAGAGAUAUUUUGGGUCAUCAUGUGUGGGAAAUGGAAGAAAAGGAUCUUUCUGGACAUGAGAAAGACAUUAUAGAUUAACAAAACUGCAAGCUACAACUGAAACUUUUACGUAUACAUUUGGAAUAUAAACAAAGUAAGAAACACAACACAAACAAAAGCUGCAAUACACUGAAUAUUUUAGGAACAUUUUACAAUUUGCUGAUUUGAUCUAUGUCGUAGGUUAUGAGAUGUUAAUGCUUAAACUUUUUUUAAAGAUUUAUUUUAAAACGAAAUGUUUAACUUGUUUGACUCUGUGGACCCUGUACCGGGUCCAGAAUUAUCUUAUUUUGACUUAAUAUAAAAUAUUCCUUUAAUUUUUAAUGGUCUGUCAUGGACCCAGUACCACAUAUGAGAUACUGUUUGAAAGCGUAGACUCUCUACUUUCUGCAGAUAUGCAUCACUUUGGGAAAUGUUUCACUGUAAGAAAGUUAGUUACACUUAAUUUACACUAUCACCCCCCCCAUAAUUUUUAAUAUCAUUUAAUAUUCACAUAUUUCAUAUUUUUCAAGUAUGACAAACAUGGGCAAGUCUUAUAUCAAAUGAAAGCUCUCACUCUCAGGAAUAAGGCUGCAGUGUUAUUUUUGUCCUAUUCUUAUCACAUAUCCAACAAUCGUCGAAUGAAUAAUGAUGUAAAAAAUUGUAUUUUGUAAACAUAUGGGAUAAUUGAGUGUGGACUGCCUCAGAUAGCACAGAUAGCCACAAAUGAUACACCAUCUUUUCUCUUAGGUCCUACUCUAAAAAAUGAGUCCAUUCACAGCAUUUUCUUUGGUUGUGUGCAUGAAUAAUCCCUUGCUAUUUAUCAUAUGUGCAAAACAAAAAAUUAAUAUUUAUAUGAAAAAUGUAUUUUCGCACACUUCAGUAAAAUGAGAAUAACUUUUGAAUGCGACAUGCUAAAGAGUUCAUUCUUUUUUUGGGUGUUUACUGUCUGCUGCUGGUAACAACCAGAACUGUCUGCAGUCUGCUAGAGCACCCAGAACCAGAGUUAUACACUAUCAG